AUAGGUACCCGAACACUACCAUUGACCUGUCUAUAUAAUGCAGUAAGUGCUAAUUGUUGGGGUAGUUUGA
rnacentral:pre_miRNA from 1 species